GCUGUGUAGGCUUGGGAAAUUUGAUUUCAGAUGGUUUUUUUUUUUACUUCAGAUAUUUUCGUUUCCAUUUUGAAGCACUGAAUUCUGCCCUUUGCAGCUCAAUUUCCACAUUAAUUUACAGUGUGGACUAAAUGUUUUGUUUCAAAGAGUGGCCCUGUGGCCCUUUUAUACAUUCUUGUUCAUCUCAAAGUUUGAGUUGCUCUACAUUAAUAGUGUGUUUGGUUUGGUUUUUCUUGUAAAGUUAAUGUGUCUGGACAGAUUUGAGUGGUACCAAAAUCCAAAGGAAGAAAGUGAUUAAAGCCUUUUAAAAAAUGCCUGUGUGCCUGAUGCUAAAUAAAGAGGACCUUGGAUUGAAUAAACACUGAUAGGACCUAAAGUUUCUGUUCUGCACUUGAGAGAUACUUCAGUUUGCUUUCUUUAGAGGGCCUGAUUACAGCUGGUUUGGUGCUUAUCUUGUUUUGAUUCUUUUAACUUUGGUAGGCCUUGAUUUGAUUUUUUUUUUUUAACACUCUUAAAUUUUGGAAAUGGAGUUCUGGAAGAUACUUCACACAUUUAAGUAUUUGCAUUUUACCCUGUCUCUGUGUCAGUCCUGUGGCCACCUGCAGUGGAGGGCCCCAAGGCAGGCGUGGUGACAUCCAGGUAAAUGGUGCCGGACUGCCCACUGUGCCUGGGCUUACAGGCGAGCAUGGAAGGCUGUAAGCAGCUGUGCUUUUGUCACAAGUCUGUCUUCAGUCUGAAGCAGGUGUUUUUGCUAGAAAUGGUCCUGGUGUUUCACUGUACUAGUGAUGAGCUGACAUAACAGUAUGGUGCGAUGGCAAGCAGGGGAAUAAGAGAAGAACUGGACAAGGUGAGGCUGUCAAGACAUAACCUAGAGCAGAAGUGCUGGCUGUGCUGGGGACCAUUUCCCUUCCCUAAGAGAAGUGAUCUCAGCUGGCCUGAGGCCAGCUGAAAAGUUAUGUUCUCCCUAGAUGAGUUGUAUAGGUAAAGAUCCUUCUCUUCCAAAAAAAAAAAAAAAAUUCAGCUGUACUUGUUACAAUAUUUUUUUUUCCUGUGGUUGAAUAUUAGGGUCAACAUUUUCCCUGGCAGAUUUUCUGGGUUGUAUGGAAACCAUGGCGCACUGUAGCUGCUACCCUGCUUGGAGCCUUUGCCAGAGUACCAGGACAGAGCUUUGCCAGAGUACUGGCUUUCUUUUAACACUUUUGGAAGUCAUUUGUGAAGAUCAAAAGUUACCAGUGUACUGAGCAAUGCAAAUCUUGUUUCCCUAUAUCCAGGCUGAGAUUCAUUUGGCACUCUCAGGUGUUAACCUUCAUUUUUCAGAUAAUGAAGGUGUGCAGCUAUGUAAGUGGUUUGAACAACUGUGGCAUUCAUGUGUAUGAAAAUGAAGUAAUUAUGCAUGCCAGAUACCAUUAAACAAAAGGUGGCCUACUAUGUCUCCUUUCCACUAAAUUAGGCCAGUGUGCAAUAGUAGCUUUUACUGAGUAGAUGUGUAGUAGCUACAAAUCUCUAGCUCCUGGCAGUGGGAGCUGGAGAUUGAGAGUACUGAAGUGCCAUAAAUUUCAGAACUUAUCUCAAAGACCAGGGCUGGGAAAGUUUGAAUGAAAACUAAGACAUGUUGUUUUUUGACAGCAAAUGGAUUGACCAUUGGAACGAGCUGUCUGAAGGUAGAGGGGAACCUCCAUUCUUCAUGCUGCAAUUCAAGGCCAGAAACUUUUCUGAAAGAUGUUCAAGCCUUUGGGCUCGACUAAGGAAGUGGAAACUUUAGGGGCCAGCAUUACAUGAGGUUGAGACCAGAUGGUCUGAUGGGCUUUGUGAAUUCAGGUGUCUGUGCUGCUAGAGCCAAGAUAACUUGUCCAUUCUCUGCAAAGUGCCAUGUCAUCCCAGGUGUCUCUGUCCUGGUGUGAGUACAUGGUUUGGUGAGCAGCUGAGCUGACCAACAGCCCCAAUGGCUCAUCUCAUUCCUGCUUCUGCCAGUGUGGGCUCAUCCUCUUUUUGGAGCUUUGGUAUUCAUCCAGCCUGGCCCUGAUCUAAUUCGUCUCACUAAACCAGCCAGAAACUAUCUUGUUUUAAUUGUGUUUUAUUCUGGCUGUGUUAGUCCUUUUAUGGGUUCCUGUGGUUGAAUCGGCUUGCAGAAGAGCCAGACAGGCUCAGGAACUGGUGUGUCGUAAUCAGCAGGAGAGCAAGACUGAGAGGGAAGGACAGGCCUGCCUCCUUUUGGCCUCCCAGAACUGUUGGCUUGGUUAACUUCAUUUGUGUAGUUUCACACUGGUGCAUUUUCUUAUGGCUCCCAGGCAGAGGCAGGAGACUGGACUAGAGGAUUUUUGGUCUGAUCCUGUGCAACUAUUCUUUUCCUUAAUAGCAGAUCUGUUCUUCCUCUUUGGCUUUUGCUGUAUGUGUCCCUGUUAUUGCUUCUUUGUUUUAAUUUUUGUUCUUUCCUUUCUCUACAUUUCUUCUAAGUGACCAGUCCUUUGCUGUGUGGAACUUCUUCAGACUCCAGCUUAGACCCGUUUGCUCAUCUGCAGUUACUCUUGGAGAAGGUUUAAAAAUACACAGCAAAGCCUGUCUUAGGAGACCAGUCAAGGAGCUGACGAAACUUUGUAGGGUGCCAUAGCUCCAGCAAGUGCUUCCCUAAGUAAUCAGCGCCUUCAGCCUUGCACAUUGUGAUCUCACAAGCCAUCGCGUCUGUGAUGUCACAAUGGAAGAGAUUCUGGUGCUCUGACUUGUGUGGUCGUGCCUUUGACAAAUCAGCCAAGGAACCCUGCGGCAAGAAUGAGCUCAAGAAAUGGGAGAGACCUUCCUUAACCCAAGAGUGCCCUCCAUCCUUUAGUCAGCCUUUUCCGUGUUCACUUAUCUCUUCCCUAAUGACCAUACAGAGGGAAACCAGUGCCUGUAUAGGGUGAAUUAUUUUUUUCAGUUGACCUACCAAAAUGCAUGUUUCUCCCAGAUGAGCAGUUGCCCAACUCUCCUCCUGUACCCCUCAUUCUUUUCUGUUGUUCCCUUCACUUGUAUUGCUUCUAAUUUUAGACUGUAAGUUCUUGAGAACAGGGACCUCCUCAUCUGUAGUGGGAAGAGCCUGGGUGUGAUUGUGGAGUACUGUAAAAACAAAACAAUGAAUGCCAAGUUGUAUCUGAGCUGAGUAAUGAUGGGGCAGCAUAUAGACGUGCCAUGACAUUACAAAUUUUCCAAAUUACAGGCGUGGCUGUCUAGCAGUGCCGGAGAAAAACCCGGCCAGAUUUGAAGGGAGUGCAGCCAUGAAGUGUACUGUUCUCAUGUUGAAGUGAUGAUACUGUGAGGUUAACAAAUUAAAGAAAGAAGCAAAUCUACCUGUCUAAAAUUGUGUUACUUUAUUAAACAGUUCUAAAAGCUU